AUCAUUCUUCACAAUAAAGGACACGCCAGAAUUGUGCAGUCGAGACGACAACUUCUGUGUACGUUUCAAAUGUAUUACUACUGGCUCUGGUAUUUCCACGACACUCUCCUUCCACACUGAGUCAAAACCUACAGUCAUUGGGUCCUGAUUGUGACAGUGGAGCCCAUUUUGAACUGCAGGAUCCAGCGAUGGCAUCAGUGAAGCUGGAAGACUGAAGUCAAACACUGGAACUGAAUGCCAAAAUUAAAGAUUAAGAAGUGGAGGAGAAGAUUGGAAAAUCUGUUUCUCAUGGACUAGAAUUAAGUCUGAGGCCGGUAACAUCAACAGUAACGACAAACCCAGCCUGCCUCUCUCCUUC